rnacentral:rRNA from 1 species
AUGUAUCAGUGUUGCACCCAAGUGCACUUGACUCUGAUCUCUCCAUCAGGAAAUUACAAUUUAUGGGUUUUCCAGCAGCUAUGGGCGGUAGUGGAUGUGUGUGAACACUGGUGGAUUGGUGAGAGACAAGAAAAGCUGCAAAACAUCCAAGACCAACUUUUUUUUUUCGAGAACACCUCGAAAGGGGCAGGGGGUUCCUGCAUUUCAUUGAGAAGAAGAGAGUUGGUCCAGUUUAUAAGGAAAACCGGACCCGAAAACCUAACAUUCUCGGCUAAUCAGGGAAAACCGAAAGAAAACUCAAAAAGAAAGUAA